AUGUUGCCUUGAAAGGACAGAAGGUUGCCACUCCCCCUGACAAAGAUGGAAGAGGCCUUUUGGCCUAACAAAGCAAAUAUAAUUGAGGCAUUGCCACCUACUUCGUUACAUCUAACCACUAGUUUAU
rnacentral:ncRNA from 1 species